GGCAACCUGCCCUGUAGACUGGGAUAACUUCGGGAAACCGGAGCUAAUACCGGAUAAUCCAUUUCACCUCAUGGUGAAAUGUUGAAAGGCGCUUCGGCGUCACUACAGGAUGGGCCCGCGGUGCAUUAGCUAGUUGGUGGGGUAACGGCCUACCAAGGCAACGAUGCAUAGCCGACCUGAGAGGGUGAUCGGCCACAUUGGGACUGAGACACGGCCCAAACUCCUACGGGAGGCAGCAGUAGGGAAUCUUCCACAAUGGACGAAAGUCUGAUGGAGCAACGCCGCGUGAGUGAUGAAGGUUUUCGGAUCGUAAAACUCUGUUGUAAGGGAAGAACAAGUACGUUAGGAAAUGAACGUACCUUGACGGUACCUUAUUAGAAAGCCACGGCUAACUACGUGCCAGCAGCCGCGGUAAUACUGUAGGUGGCAAGCGUUGUCCGGAUUUAUUGGGCGUAAAGCGCGCGCAGGCGGUUUCUUAAGUCUGAUGUGAAAGCCCACGGCUUAACCGUGGAGGGUCAUU
rnacentral:rRNA from 1 species